UACGACUCUCGGCAACGGAUAUCUCGGCUCUCGCAUCGAUGAAGAACGUAGCGAAAUACGAUACUUGGUGUGAAUUGCAGAAUCCCGUGAACCAUCGAGUUUUUGAACGCAAGUUGCGCCCAAAGCCAUUAGGCUAAGGGCACGUCUGCCUGGGCGUCACGC
rnacentral:rRNA from 3 species